rnacentral:rRNA from 1 species
GAGACUCUGUGCGCGUGCAUAUCAAUAAGCGGAGGAAAAGAAACUAAGAAGGAUUCCCUUAGUAACGGCGAGUGAAGCGGGAAGAGCUCAAAUUUGAAAUCUUCAAGGUUUUACCUUGACGAAUUGUAGUUUAAAGAAGUGUUUUCUGUUGGAGUUUUGGUAAAAGUUCUUUGGAAUAGGACAUCAUAGAGGGUGAGAAUCCCGUAUUUGGUCAUUCCUCCUAGCGUUGUGAUACACUUUCAACGAGUCGGAUUGUUUGGGAAUGCAGUCCAAAAUGGGUGGUAAAUUUCAUCUAAAGCUAAAUAUUGGCGAGAGACCGAUAGCGGAACAAGUACCGUGAGGGAAAGAUGAAAAGAACUUUGAAAAGAGAGUUAAACAGUACGUGAAAUUGUCAAAAGGGAAGCGUUUGACACCAGUGUUGUUUUUCCGAAAAUCAAUUACGAAUGUUUUAUUUUUGAGGAGUUAUGACUUCAUCGGCUUGCUACUCUCUUUAUGAAACUUUCUUAAUGCACUCUUCGGUUAACAAGUCAACAUCAAUUUCUUUUGUUGUAAAAGGGUAUGAGGAAGGUGGCUUUCUUUUCGGAGAAAGUGUUUAUAGCCUUGUGCCUCUGCAAUCGGAGAGAUUGAGGUCUGCAGCGUAGAUCCUUCGGGGUUAGAUACAGUUUGUGCUAAGUUAUAGCUUUUCAUAGACAACUUGUUGACUACGUUAAGUCUUGUAGCUUACUCGCUUAUGCUAUUUUACCUACGCUUAGGAUGUUGACGAUCAGCUGAGCGCG